AGCGCAAGAGAAAAUAAAUUAUAACCUAUCUCCCAUUAUGAAAGUUGAUUAGUUGAAAGUGUUUCUUUUUUUUUUAAUCUUUGAGUCUUCUUAAUUCUCUUGUCUAUCAGUGAGGGAGAGUGAGGUUGCAAAGAUCAUCAAGUUUCUAAUCCAAUAGCCAUGGAAAAAACUAGAAACCCUAAGGGCAAGGGGAAAGCUCCCUGUUCAAGUGUCACUCCUUCGAGAAAACCUUCGUUCAAGAACUACGGAGCAGGGCAACAAAAUUUCGAAGAUUCAAAGAUUAAAAGUGAUUCAUGUUCAUGUGUUCUAAGAAGAAAUGGGUCUGGUAAAGUGGAUUACGACGGUGGAGCUGGCCAAAAGUUCGAGAAUUCAAUGAUAAACGGUGUAAAAGUGGAAUCAGAGACGACAUCCUCUUCUGGAUCAAAGACCACAAGCAGUGAGAUCUAUUGCAGUACUUGUGAAUCCUUUAACAACCUUGGAACCGGAUCUCAGAAUUUCGAAGGUUCCAUGAUUCGUAUCGGUUGAAACUAAGGUAAUCAUGAUCACAGUGAGUGCUGGGAGAGAAGUUUGAAGAGGGCCACAUUGAUACUGCAAACCAAUGAUGUUCUGCUGUUUGUAUUUUCCUACUUGUGUUAAGUUUUUCAAUGGAGUUUAAUAACCUAGACCCUUCCCCAGAUGGAUAUUUGUGUCUCUUAUUAUGCCUUCCCUUUCUUCCAACAACUCAUAUCUCCUAAAACUUUUAUGCUCUAAAUAACACCAUGAGUGUUGGAAUGUGAUGUACUUGGAUUUCCUUUUAUCUCUGGUCUGUCUUUUAAAUAUAGUGCUGUUUGUGAUGAAGAUAUAUUUCAAGCCAAUGAUUAAGUGAACCUUAUAGUAGUGCAUGUGUUUAAAAUGUAAUGGCUUAACCACCCAAGUUCUCUAA